rnacentral:lncRNA from 1 species
UUUGAACAAUGAAUUUCGUAACGAAUUGUUAAAUAUAAAAAUGUUUAAACACCAUUCUCUAACAACUUAAGUUUUUAGAGUACAACGGUUGUUUCAUAUGGUAUCAGAGCAGGAGGUCCUGAGUUCGAGUCACGCCAGGCUCCUGGCAUAUUAAUUUUCUCCCAUUUAAUUCAAGCUCACGUCAUGGGCCGAUUAAAAAGUCUCAAGCCCAGACGUGAGGGGGAGUUUACUCUAAGCUUUUAGAGUACAACGGUUGUUUCACACGAAUACUGUUGAGAAAAAAAGACCCCCCAUAUAUGAUAAGACAA